rfam:Acidithiobacillus sp. GGI-221 contig_854, whole genome shotgun sequence.
GCCGAAGUGGUGAAAUUGGUAGACACACCGUCUUGAGGGGGCGGCGGCGCAAGCUAUACCGGUUCGAGUCCGGUCUUCGGCA